rnacentral:misc_RNA from 1 species
GAUGAAGAACGCAGCGAAAUGCGAUAAGUAAUGUGAAUUGCAGAAUUCAGUGAAUCAUCGAAUCUUUGAACGCACAUUGCGCCCCCUGGUAUUCCGGGGGGCAUGCCUGUUCGAGCGUCAUUUCAACCUUCAAGCUCUGCUUGGUGUUGGGCCCUGCCCGCUGCGGCCGGCCCUAAAGACAGUGGCGGUGCCGCCUGGCCCUGAGCGUAGUACAUCUCUCGCUCCAGUGCCCGGUGGUAGCCUGCCAGAACCCCCACUCUCGUGGUUGACCUCGGAUCAGGUAGGGAUACCCGCUGAACUUAAGCAUAUCAAUAAGCGGAGGA